UACGAGGGGGGGCGAGCGUUGUUCGGAAUUAUUGGGCGUAAAGGGUGCGUAGGCGGUUCCGCAAGUCCUGUGUGAAAUCUUCGGGCUCAACUCGAAGUCUGCACGGGAAACUGCGGGGCUUGAGUGUGGGAGAGGUGAGUGGAAUUCCCGGUGUAGCGGUGAAAUGCGCAGAUAUCAGGAAGAACACCCGUGGCGAAAGCGGCUCUCUGGAACGGUACUGACGCUGAGACGCGAAAGCGUGGGGAGCGAACAGG
rnacentral:rRNA from 1 species